rnacentral:lncRNA from 1 species
GCACUGCCCACCCCCUGCCAGAGCCCCAUCCCCUGUACAGCUCCCCAUUCCCACGCAGCGCCAGCUUGCUCAGCUCCUGGGGCCCCCCUUCCUUCCGCCUAACCCCCCCGGGUGUCUGUUCCCCUGCCCUUACCUAGAGGGCCCCCCCAUGACAGUCCCUCUGGAAGCCCAACGCCCUCACCUUGUCUCCCCCCCCGGCAGCCCCGCCACGACUGACCCUGCUGCAGCCCCUGGUGACGCUGCAGGGGCAGGUCACUCUGCAGUGCCUGGUGAGCGGCUACCACCCCCCCGAGAUCACGGUGCAAUGGCUGCGGAACGGGGAGCCCCUGCUCACCAUGGAGUCAGCCCCCACGAAGGAAGCAGACGGGUCCUUUGCCCUCCGCAGCGGCUACAUCCUCGACCGGCCAGAGAGCAACGCCCAGGCCAACUUCGCCUGCCGCGUGCAGCACCAGGCGCUGACUACCCCGCUGGAGAGCACAGCCACCUGGAUAGUCCCCAGGUGCCCCAAGACGUGUUUAUGGGUCAUCGGACUGAUCCUGCUGGUCUUGCUGGUGCUGCUCACCCUGUGGAUCUUGUACCAGUGCUGUAACAUCAGCAUGUCCUCGAGCCGUGCCCGGGAGUGUUGGCCGGAGGGCAGCGUGACAGCACUGCUCUGCGAGGCGGAGGGGACGCUCUGCGACACAGACAGCCUGACCUGGAGGAGCCAGCGCCAGGGGAAGGAGCUGGGGCCUGGGCAGCCCGGGGAGCUGAACACGCUGAUGCCGAAGCUGGAGCAGCACCGCGUGGUGACGUGGCAGCGCAACCUCGGGCUGGGCAGGCGGCGGCUCACGUCGGUCGUCACCAUCCAGACCCCGUGCGAAGAAGACACUUUCAGCUGCACGUUCCAAGGCGCGAGGGGCAUGAAGCAGAGGCACAUCACAAUCCCCGGCGUGCCAGCGGGUGAGCAGGGCACGGACCGGGGGAAAGGGGCUGUGGGGGUGGCAGAUCAGGGCAGCAGGAGGCUGUGGGGUGCAAGGCUGCAAGGGCAUGUGUGUAUUGGGGUGCCAUGGGGAAACAAGGAGAUUUGGGGCAUAGGGGGCACAGGAUGCAGGGGGAGGGGAAGGGGGUUCUGCGGGAUAUGGGGUGUAGUGGAUGGCACGGAGUCCCCGGGUGAUGCUCUGGAACUGCUCCCCACAAAGCCAGUCAGGACUCUGGGGAGCCUCCUCUCCC